AUAUAAUGUAAAAGAAUGAGACACGUCACCAUCGGUUCAACAGUUGCGAUCGAGUUCGCUUGUUCCUCGGGCAGUAAACGUUUCACAGCAUGGCUCAUAAGAAUUGCAAGAAAGAAAGGAUGAUCGUAUUAAAUUCAUCCACUCACAAUACGGAUCUUGAAUACUCUCCAGCACUCUGACACUGCUCCGGACACCAUUAUAAAAUGCGAUUCUCACGAAUGAAAAAAACUUUUGCUAUCAAUAAAAAAGGAUACACUGUUGAAAUAUAUCACCAAAACACAAAUUCAUCGAAAUAACACUUUUAAAUUUAUCGGAGGUAAAAGAAACAGAACACACAGAGUCUAAAUACGCAGGUAGUCAAACGUUGCAAUGUUGCACAGAAAAAUAGUAGAAGUAACACUCAGUCGGUAACUUUGAAACACCAUGAAACACUAUAUAAACACAUUAUUCUUCAUAAUCUUAAAAAUACAGUUCAAAUAAACGAUAGAACUGCAAGAGAACGAUAGAA